rnacentral:tRNA from 1 species
GGGCCCAUAGCUCAGUUGGUUAGAGCAGGGGACUCAUAAUCCCUUGGUCCCAGGUUCGAGUCCUGGUGGGCCCA